rnacentral:SRP_RNA from 2 species
AUUUUGGUGCAACACUUAUGUUUGAAUCAGGUCAGAAUUGGAAGAUAGCAGCCUUAAGGACCUAUGAGUGUGUGCACUAUUUUUUG